rnacentral:lncRNA from 1 species
AUCCAUAAAACAAAUCAGCCAUUCUCUUGUUUGUUUAUCUUAUUGAUUUCCAGUUACUUAUCAAGUUAUUGGUUUGUUAACACAUAAUGGAGAAGCUGUAAAAGUUACAAGCAAAACUUAGUCUGCCUGAAAAGAAAAAACAGAAAACUUUUUAAAUGUAAUCCUGAGUUUUGGUUUGCUAUAGUUGAAUUACUGUCCAUCGUCUUCACUGUUGUGAUCAAAACUCGCUGCCCAUACCUCUUUCUCUAUGUCCUUCCCUCUGAUCGAUUUCUUUUUUCUUAAAUGCUGAUUAAUUUCUCCGUUAAGUUCCUCUUUUAGUGCACCAGAAGAUCGCCUGUUCAUUUACUACUGCAUACACACUAUUCAAUGAAUCAUUAGAGGCACUCCAAGAAAUGAAACAGAGAAUAUGUAAAUGGGAAGCAGAACAAGAAAAGAAGUAAAAAGGAUCGUGAAGUUCUUGAGGGAAGCUUACUUUAUUACACUUGAAGCACAUCAAUCCCUAUGUUGCAUCCUGUUGAUAAAUUAUAAUUUUUAAUGUAAUGACUAAAGCUCCUAGUCGAGAUGUCAUCACUUGGAUGAUGAUAGGGAACUACAGCAACAGGAAAAAAAACUGAAGCGACACCUCGCCUCCAACCAUGACAUUGGGGCUUCAAGUCGCCUCCCACACACAUAUU